ACUCCUACGGGAGGCAGCAGUGGGGAAUAUUGCACAAUGGGGGAAACCCUGAUGCAGCCAUGCCGCGUGUGUGAAGAAGGCCUUCGGGUUGUAAAGCACUUUCAGUAGGGAGGAAGGUAGUGUAGUUAACACCUUGCAUUAUUGACGUUACCUACAGAAGAAGCACCGGCUAACUCCGGUGCCAGCAGCCGCGGUAAUACGGAGGGUGCGAGCGUUAAUCGGAAUUACUGGGCGUAAAGCGCAUGCAGGCGGCCUGUUAAGUCAGAUGUGAAAGCCCGGGGCUUAACCUCGGAAUUGCAUUUGAAACNGGCAGGCUAGAGUCUUGUAGAGGGGGGUAGAAUUUCAGGUGUAGCGGUGAAAUGCGUAGAGAUCUGAAGG
rnacentral:rRNA from 1 species